GAAAGGGUUUCUGUAGAUACCUAACCUCACUGCUAGUGACGAUUUUAACAAGGCGGGAGGACACACACUUCUCAACACACACACACACACACACUCAUACUCCUCUACACACACACACUCCUCAACGCGCGCGACUGGAGAAUCCGCGGCUCGAGGGAAAGCGGGAUCAUGGCUGCUUACAGAGAAUGGAUUGAGUCCAAAAAUUCCAGAGGCGUUGACUUUCAGUACUGUGAAGGCGAGCAUGUGAGCAUAUCAGAGCUGAAAGAGGACCCCCGAAUAGACCAGCACUACCUGAGAAAGGCCUAUAUUCCAUAUUAUCCAAAAUCCAUUUUUCAGGUAUCCAAGGUAUGCCAUGUGACUGGAGAGAGCGGCCUCUGGAGUAUCUUCAAUGAUGGCGGAUUCCGGAAGCCCCAGUUCUUGGAUGACAGCUUGCUGUGGUGGAGCCUAUCGGUGACUAAGGAUGACAUCGCUGAUGCUGAACAGAAUAUCCUAAGGAAGAUGUUCCCAGCAGGACAUGCUGAAAACCAGCAGCCUUUCCUGGAGGAUUUCACCGCCUCCCCAGCUUUUCAGAACAAGUCUCGAUACGGCAACUUCCGCUUCACCUUUUCUCUAAAAGAGCUGCUGCGUCUGUACGCUGAACAGUUCUGCCGUGAAUCUGCUCUAGUCCUCCGUGUGUUGGACACAGCGAUCUACAGCCAAGAGAUUCUCUACACAGUGCUGGUGCACCCACAACACGUUAACUGCUACGACCAAUACCCGCGUCUGCCCAGUGACGACAGCGGCGUGUGCGGCUAUUCUCAGGGCAAGAUGUCCUGGCGCUGUCAGUCUCCUUCAGACAGCUUUCGCCACCGCAUGGAGGUGGACAGAGAGGAGCGCAGGGUUCAUGCGAGGCCACUUCAGAGUGAAGUGUAUUACAGGUGGGAUCAUGUGGCUGUAGCCUUCCACGUAGAGCCAGACUGGAUUCUGCACGUGGAUAGAAAGAAGCUGUCCAGCAGUGUGAGUGUGUGUGAGGUCGCAGAGAUCAAUCUCCUGAAAGAGCCAGACACUCCUCUCAGUGAGUCUGAUGCUCGUGCAGUACUCAAGAAUGUGAGGAGACAGUAUAGGUUAGGCCCAGUCUAGGCCUAGGUAGAUGUGUCACAAAGCAGGAUUACUUAAAUUUCUGCUCUGAAAGGAAAUGAAAUUGAUUUGUUGUUGGAACCAGAGUGUCUUUAACUAUUCAAACACAGCUGUUGUGAAUAAUAAUAGCCAUUCUUUAACUAUCUACUGAAGUAACAUACUUGCUAUCAAGCUAAUUAUCCAGUUAGCCAUACUGCUUCAUUAAAAGAACACUACUUAAGUCUUGUGAAGUAAGACUUUUACACAAAAAUCAAGAAUUUUACUUUAUUGUAAUCUGCAAAAGGCAGUGGGUACUAUAGCAGUGUGUACUAUAGCUACUAUAGCUGUCUUAUUUUUAUUGCUUUUAAGGACCCACUAGGUAGGAUUUCCUUGAUUUUUUAUUGUUUUAAAGAGUAAAAUUACAGCUUGAAACUCACUGCAGCACUGCAUUGUGCCGGAGCUCCAAUGAGCUCUAACAGGUUUUCCGAGGUGGCCGAGACCAACGCUCGCGAGAACUGCGACCUGCUUUCCGACCUUUAGUUCUAAUGAAACAUUUAUUACACUCUGCAACUGUAGGGGGAGCCCACGAGCAAAAAAUCUCAAUUCUACCUAGUGGAGCUUUCAUUAGGGCUGACAAUAGUCACGCGUUAAUGCAUGCAUUUAAUCUGUAAACUUUAAUGCAUUCUUUUUUUUCAUCCCAUUUUCUCCCUAAUUUACAAGUCCAAUUAUCCAACCCACUCAUUAGAACUCCCCCUAUUAUUAGUGAUGCCUCAACACCAGGAGGGUGAAGACUAGCACAUGCCUCCUCCGAUACAUGGAAAGUCAGCCACCACCUCUUUUCGAUCUGCUGCUGAUGCAGCAUUGCCGAGUAGCAUCACAGCGCGCUAGGAGGAAAGUGCAGCAACAUUAGCUUCUGAUACAUCACCCUUUAGAGUUAUGAGGGGAAAGAGCGCCAUCUACCCACCCAGAGAGGGCAAGACCAGUUGUGCUCUCUCAGGGCUCGGGCAACUGAUAGCAAGCAACAAGAACAGGAUUCGAACCAGCUGUCAGUCGCUCAGUUGUCCAUAUGGCAGACUAAGUUUUCAACUCUUAUCACUAUAAGACUUAAGGUGUAAUAAUAAACAAAAUAAAAAUAAUUACGGCUGAAGACCA
ensembl:lncRNA